GUAUAGGUUUUAUUAUUAUUAAUAAAUUAUUAUUAAAUAAUUGUAUUUAAAUAUACAGCCACAGAAGGUGCCAGCCCUGUUAUUUAAUAAUAUUUAUUAAAUUUAUAAAACUUUAGAGUCGUGUUGCUUGGAAGUGCAGCACAAAGUUGGUGAUAAACAUCAUCUAAGGCUAAAUAUUCCUAUGAAUCCGAUAGCGAACAAGUACUGUGAAGGAAAAUUGCAAAGUACUCCGGAGAGAGAGUUAAAGAGGACGUGAAACCGAUACGAUGGAAGCAUACAGAGCCAGUUGCACUAUUAUUAAUAUUUUUUUAUUAAUAAUUUUAAGCAUGGGUAUAUUGAUUAUUAAUUAGUUAUUUAUUAAAGAGUGAUAAAAUUUUUUAAAUUUUGUUAACUUUAAUAAAAUAAUUAUAUUUAUAAUUAAUAUUAUAUAUUAUUAAUGUAUUAAUAAUAUUUUAAUUAUUAAUAUAAUAUAARACACAUGUGUUAAAUAUUAUUUAUUAAUAAUUAUUAUAUUAUUAUAAAUUAAUAA
rnacentral:rRNA from 1 species